CAAAUGUGCAGCAGAGAAAGCUCGCUAUUGCAAGUCAGUUCCACUGAGGAGGCGUCGCUGCUUCUGCUGCCGCCGAUGUGGGUCCUUGAUGGUCCUGGAGAGACAAGCCUUGGGGUAGGACUCCUUUGUAAGGUCUGGAUAUAUAAUGGAAGAGACUGACAAGCUACAUGUGUUCUCUGGAGUCAGACACAUGGAACUGGAAUCCAGAAAGCCUUCAAGUUCUAGUGGACAACCACUAAUUCUGUAAAACUAGGAACCGGAGUACUAAGUACUUGUGAGCCUCCUGAGUGAGUAAUGGCAACCAGACCCAGGUCCCCUGUAUGAAGAACAAGUGCUCUUAACCACGAAGACAUCUCUCCAGCUUGGGUAAUGGCAACCAGGCCCAGGUCUUCUGCACGAAGAGCAAGUACUCUUAACCACUGAGACAUCUCUCCAGCUUGGGUUGUUUUCGGUCACCUCCUCUGUUUAUGGUAAUAUUGAGACAGAGUUGAACAGGUUCCAUCAUGUCUGUCUCUCUAUGGUCACCACAGUUGUCCUCAUUGCUAUCACCUCCUGAAAAAGAAAAUAGAGUAGGGGGAUUCAUUUCAAUUGUCUUUAUUAUAUUUAAAACUGUGUAUGGCUAAUGCAAAAUUACAUUUUAUUCAACCACCAUAGGGAGCCUCCAAAUCUAUGGAUUUCCCCCCAAAAAAUAGUACUGAAGUGAUGAGUUUACAAGUUUUAUGUUUCACAAUUUAAGACCCAGGGCAUACCAUUUCACGCUGUUGGGUUUCACCACAGGUUUCACACAGAAAGUCCCUGACAUCUUUUCCUGUUAUACAUGUCACAUCAUUUUGGUUAACAGUUUUUAGAUAGUAAACUAUUUUUGCAUAGUUUUGAUUGUUUUGUAGUUUGAAUAUUUAUAAUAUUUCAGAUACAUAAUUUAAUUUUUGAUACUCACCAAUCUCUUGCUUCAAGAGAAUUUUCAUCCCAUUCACCUUAGGUCCUAGCUUUAAUUUUUCUGGAAUAUUUUUAGUCUACAAAUUGAUGAUUCUUAUUCAUAUUAUUUUGCAACCCCAAAUUGAGAGCUUACCAAAUCUGUUCAUUACGUAUUAAUUUACUUUUAUACACUGCUUAUCUGGCCAGUUCUUAUCUUCAAAUAUUUAAGUGGAGUCCUGGGAUUCUAGAAUUAUGAGUCUUUUUCAUAGUUGGUGAUGUCAGCCUAAUACAUGUAUGACAAAUAGGGUCAACAUGAUAUUUUCAGGUCGUUUCUUUCCAUCAUAUAAAAUUUCAUUUUCUCCCAUAGAGAAUCAAGUGUUUGAAAAACUUUCCAAAAAUAUUAUGUGCACAUGAUAUGUGGAAGGAAAUUAUCCAAUGCUUUCCUGAAGGCAGAGCUGGCUGUAACCCAUAAUUGAGAGUGCUAGACCUCCCAAAACCAUUCUUCUUCAGUUAGUUAUCAUGUCCUUGUAGUUUCUGGGGUCUCUCUCUGCCCCAUCUCCAUCCCUCCUCAUAUAGACUUAUGCAUGCAUCAUGAAACUGUCACCACAGUCGUUAAGGUCGCAAAUAUGUCCACUAUCUCCAAGAACUUCCUUUCAUCUCCUAUCUCUUGUUAUAAGACCACUUACCUUAGUAGUCCAACACUAGGGAGCGGCAGCUUUAAGUGUCCCAAAGUUUUUUUCUUUGCACAGUAAUGUCAUCAAUCUUGUUUUGUGGCUGUGAAAAUUGUUGUGUACAGAGGUUAAACAAAUUACCCAAGGUCACAAAGCAGAUGAGUGAGAUCUGGGAACAGAUCCAACUCCAAACUGCAGGGUUGACAUAUUAUCUUCCAUUGCUUCCCACAGCUGCUGGCAGGCCACUCUCUCCCCCUGCAUUAAGUAAAAGCCAGCUAUUUUAACUUGCGUUCCUGAGUUGAAGUCAAUGGAGUUUAACUGUAAUUGCUAGAAUGUUAUCUCGGUUGAAAAAAAUAUAUAAAUAAUGAAUAGAGGUGAAAUAGAUCCAUCCCAAGUCAGUAUUAGUGACAUCAUCCUUCUUCUCUAACCGCUUACUCUCCUGAAACUGCUUACAAAUGUGCAAUACUUUCACCAUGUUUGCAUGAAGACAGCACCUGACUAUCAACAUUUUAGACCAAGUAUUCCUUUGAUAUUUGCAUAGCUGAAUAAUAAUUACAAAGAGCUUGAUAUGUGGGUAAAUAAAGGCUAUUUUCAAGUAAAGAAAAAAUAUGAAGUACAUAAACUUGCUGUUUUGAAUUUUUCUGUAAAAGCACAGAUGUUCUCCAACAAAUCUAUAUAAUGACUCAGUCAAUGUUAGUCUUCUAGAAGCCAAAAGAGUUCAUUUACCUUCCAGCUUAGGGACCUAAGAAAUCAUAAUGUCCUGUCAGCCACAAACAGAGUCAGUAGGCCUCCUACUUCAUGGAGAUUGGUCCCUGGGCCAGUUGUUUCUGUUUUUUUCAUCACAGACACCUGUGAGCAUACAAGUCAGGCCCUUCAGUGUGUAGUUUCUUUGAAUCUCAUCAUCUCAUGUGGUUCCUGCAUUACCUGACCAUACCUUCAGACACAGCUGAAGGCCUAGUUUUGUGUGUGUGUGUGUGUGUGUGUGUGUGUGUGUGUGUGUGUGUGUGCGUGCCCUCAGAUUCAUGCUCUGUUCUAAUGCAGACACUUGAAUGCUGCCUCCUCAGCCUGCCACAGGAGGUAGCCCUUGACUAAUAAAGAAACAGUCCUAAGGAAAUACAGUUAAAAGAUCGUUACAACAUUUAAAGGGUUUCUCCACAGAACAAAUUUUCUGAUAUUAGAAAAGGCUUGCCCACACUCCUUACAUUCAUAUGAUUUUUACCCCGGUAGGAAUAGCCCUAUCAAACAAGGGGGGACUCAUGCUUGAAGGACUUAUCCAUGCACCUUGCAUUCAAAGGAUCUUUUCAUUUUAUGAACAACUUUAUUGUUAUUAAUUUUGUUGCAAAGAGGAAAAGUGUUUUCACAGUCUUUACAUCCAAAUUUACACUGUGUCAGCUAUAACAUUAUUGAUAAAAUUAAGAUUGGUCAUUUGGGUAAAAUGAUGUGUGCCAGAGCUCUAUUAAAAGGUCUAGUUUGUUGUAGAUGUGUAUCUAUGUGGAGAAACUAUUACUUCCAAACAUGGAUAUGUGUAGUUUA